rnacentral:rRNA from 1 species
ACAGCAGUCGCCGCGGUAAUACGGAGGAUCCAAGCGUUAUCCGGAAUCAUUGGGUUUAAAGGGUCCGUAGGCGGUCUUGUAAGUCAGUGGUGAAAGCCCAUCGCUCAACGGUGGAACGGCCAUUGAUACUGCAGGACUUGAAUUAUUGGGAAGUAACUAGAAUAUGUAGUGUAGCGGUGAAAUGCUUAGAGAUUACAUGGAAUACCAAUUGCGAAGGCAGGUUACUACCAAUUGAUUGACGCUGAUGGACGAAAGCGUGGGUAACGAACAGGAUUAGAUACCCCCGUAGUCCCUGUCUCUUAUAA